rnacentral:rRNA from 1 species
UACGAAGGGGGGCUAGCGUUGCUCGGAAUCACUGGGCGUAAAGCGCACGUAGGCGGCUUACUAAGUCAGGGGUGAAAGCCUGGAGCUCAACUCCAGAACUGCCUUUGAUACUGGUGAGCUUGAGUUCGGGAGAGGUGAGUGGAACUGCGAGUGUAGAGGUGAAAUUCGUAGAUAUUCGCAAGAACACCAGUGGCGAAGGCGGCUCACUGGCCCGGUACUGACGCUGAGGUGCGAAAGCGUGGGGAGCGAACAGG